rnacentral:rRNA from 1 species
GACGAACGCUGGCGGCGUGCUUAACACAUGCAAGUCGAACGGUGAAGGGACUGGUUUUGCUGGUCCUGGAUGAGUGGCGAACGGGUGAGUAACACGUGAGUAACCUGCCCCCUUCUUCUGGAUAACCGCAUGAAAGUGUGGCUAAUACGGGAUAUUCUGGGUCUGUCGCAUGGUGGGCCUGGGAAAGAUUGCGCCUUUUUUGGUGUUUUUGGUGGGGGAUGGGCUCGCGGCCUAUCAGCUUGUUGGUGGGGUGAUGGCCUACCAAGGCGGUGACGGGUAGCCGGCCUGGGAGGGUGGACGGUCACACUGGGACUGAGACACGGCCCAGACUCCUACGGGAGGCAGCAGUGGGGAAUAUUGCACAAUGGGCGCAAGCCUGAUGCAGCGACGCCGCGUGAGGGAUGGAGGCCUUCGGGUUGUGAACCUCUUUCGCCAGUGAAGCAGGCCUGCCUCUUUUUGUGGGUGGGUUGACGGUGGCUGGAUAAGAAGCGCCGGCUAACUACGUG